rnacentral:lncRNA from 1 species
UGGCCUGAUAUUGACAAUAGGUGUUUCAAAGCUUUUUGGCGCCUCCUUCUCAUGCUUUGCCAAGUCAACAAGUUUUGAAGUGCGGCUCCUUACAAUUCCGGACAAAAAUAGGUCCGUACCAGCAGCCUUCUUCUUUGGCUCGUACGGGGAAACCAAUUUGGGGACCGAGAAUUUUGUUUUUUUUUAUUAUGGUGGUGUCUUAUCAUCAUUUUUGGGUGCCGGUGGUCUGGAAGAUUGCGGUGUUGAAGCAUGGGGUUUAGGUGAUGGUGGUGAAGCCUGGGGUUUAGGUGAUGGUGGGGGAGUGGGUUUUCAUGGUGGCAGGGAUGGUGGUUGAGGCAUUAUUAGUGAUGGUGGUGGUGGAGAUUGUGGAUGCAAGAUUGGAGAGGUUGGUGGAGUGGGAAGAAAUGUGGGAUGGGACGACUCCUGAGUCUGCGGCACUUCUCGGGGUGAUGGUUCUGGUAGCUGAGAGAGUAGGACGUCCCGUCGAGGCCAAAGAAUAAAAUUCUUGAUAGCUUGACCCAGUUUCUCAAUGCCCUCGGCACCGGAAAUGUCUAGCAUGUCGUCCUCAUAUCCUUGGACAGCUGU